rnacentral:rRNA from 1 species
AGCGAACGCUGGCGGCAGGCCUAACACAUGCAAGUCGAACGAACCUUUCGGGGUUAGUGGCGGACGGGUGAGUAACACGUGGGAACGUGCCUUUAGGUUCGGAAUAAUUCAGGGAAACUUGUGCUAAUACCGAAUGUGCUCUUCGGGGGUAAGAUUUAUCGCCUUUAGAGCGGCCCGCGUCUGUUUCGCUAGUUGGUUGAGGUAAUGGCUCACCAAGGCGACGAUCAGUAGCUGGUCUGUGAGGAUGAUCAGCCACAUUGGGACUGAGACACGGCCCAAACUCCGACGGGAGGGAGCAGUGGGGAAUCUUGCGCAAUGGGCGAAAGCCUGACGCAGCCAUGCCGCGGGAAUGAUGAAGGUCGUAGGAUUGUAAAAUUCUUUCACCGGAGACGAUAAUGACGGUACCCGGAGAAGAAGCCCCGGCUAACUUCGUG